rnacentral:rRNA from 1 species
AACGAACGCUGGCGGCAGGCCUAACACAUGCAAGUCGAGCGAGGUAGCAAUACCUAGCGGCGGACGGGUUAGUAACGCGUGGGAACGUGCCCAAAGGUACGGAAUAGCCUCGGGAAACUGAGAGUAAUACCGUAUGUGCCCUUCGGGGGAAAGAUUUAUCGCCUUUGGAUCGGCCCGCGUUGGAUUAGGUAGUUGGUGGGGUAAUGGCCUACCAAGCCGACGAUCCAUAGCUGGUUUGAGAGGAUGAUCAGCAACACUGGGACUGAGACACGGCCCAGACUCCUACGGGAGGCAGCAGUGGGGAAUCUUAGACAAUGGGGGAAACCCUGAUCUAGCCAUGCCGCGUGAGCGAUGAAGGCAUUAGGGUUGUAAAGCUCUUUCAGCUGGGAAGAUAAUGACGGUACCAGCAGAAGAAGCCCCGGCUAAACUCCGUGCCAGCAGCCGCGGUAAU